rnacentral:lncRNA from 1 species
AUGAAGCUGAACAUCUUCCCAGCCGCUGGCUGCCAGAAGCUCAUUGCAGUGGACGAUGAACACAAACUUCGUAGUUUGUAUGAGAUGCCUGUGGCCACAGAAGUUGCUGCUGAUGCUCUCGUGAAGCAUGGAAGGGUUCUGUGGUCUGGAUCAGUGGUGGGAACGACAAACAAGCCUUCCCAUGAAGCAGGGUGACCCGACCCACGGCCAUGUCCACCUGCUACCGAGUAAGCGGCAUUCCUGCCAUAGACCAAGGAGAACUGGAGAAAGACAGUGAAAACCUGUUCGCCGUUGCAUUGUGGAUGCCAAUCUCAGCAUUCUCAACUUGGUUAUUGUUAAAAAAAAAAAAUAGGAGAGAAGGACAUUCCUGGACUGACUGAUACUAUGGUGCCUCGCUGCCUGGGGCCCAGAAGAGCUAGCAGAAUCCGUAGACUUUUCAAUGUCUCUAAAGAAGACGACGUCUUCUUUAGACGAAGAAGAAGACGUCUAAAUGUUGAAAUGUUGAAAUGUUUCAAAUGUUAAAUGUUGAAAACCCUUAAACGAAGAAUGUAAGAAACCGAGGACCAAAGCACCUACGACUCAGUGUCUUGUUUUCAUUUUUUUUUUCUAUACAGAGUCUCACUCUGUCGCCCAGGCUGGAGUGCAGUGGUGCGAUCUCGGCUCACUGCAACCUCUGCCUCCUGGGUUCAAGUGAUUCUCCUGCCUCAGCCUCCUGAGUAGCUGGGACUAUAGGCGCCCGCCACCACCUGGCUAAUUUUUGUAUAUUUAGUAGAGAUGGGGUUUUACCAUGUUGGUCAGGCUGGUCUCAAACUCCUGACCUUGUGAUCCCCCUGCCUUGGCCUCCCAAAGUGCUGGCAUUACAGGCGUGAGCCACCACGCCCGGUCAGUGUCUUGUUACUCCAUGUGCCCUGCAGCACAAAUGCUGGCAUCUUGCUCUGAAGAAAACAGUGUACUACAAAAAAUAAGGCAGAGGCUGCAGAAUAUGCUACACACUGGCCACGAGAAUGAAAGAGGCCAAAAAAAAAAAAAAAACAUCAGGAACAGACUGCCAGGAAAUGCAGACUCUCCAGCGGUGAGCUCCUACUUCUAAGUCUGCAUCCAGACAAAAA